GCCAGACUCCUACGGGAGGCAGCAGUCGGGAAUAUUGCGCAAUGGAGGAAACUCUGACGCAGUGACGCCGCGUAUAGGAAGAAGGUUUUCGGAUUGUAAACUAUUGUCGUUAGGGAAGAUACAAGACAGUACCUAAGGAGGAAGCCCCGGCUAACUAUGUGCCAGCAGCCGCGGUAAUACAUAGGGGGCAAGCGUUAUCCGGAUUUAUUGGGUGUAAAGGGUGCGUAGACGGAGAAACAAGUUGGUUGUGAAAUCCCUCGGCUCAACUGAGGAACUGCAACCAAAACUAUUUCCCUUGAGUGUCGGAGAGGAAAGUGGAAUUCCUAGUGUAGCGGUGAAAUGCGUAGAUAUUAGGAGGAACACCAGUGGCGAAGGCGGCCUGCUGGACCGUGACUGACGUUGAGGCUCGAGAGCGUGGGGAGCAAACAGGAUUAGAUACCCGCGUAA
rnacentral:rRNA from 1 species